AUUUUAUAUCUUUGUUCGUCGACAUUAUAGUCAUCAUUGCAGGCUAUUGCUGCAGAACAAAAUGCCGCAACCACCGCUGUGGUAAAUAUGUUCCAGCAGAGCUGCCCACCGCCGUCGGUGUAAUUAUUUCGAUAGCUGAACAAACGCCAUCUCCUGGGCAUUCCCACAGCUUGCCGACACUAGCUAUUAUAUCACGAGUGAAUGCAACUGCGGCUUAAUUUGGUUAUUAACAGUGCAAUAGUACCAUGUCAUUGGCAAAAACACUAAGGGCUGCUGGCAAAUAUAGAUGUUGGAGAAUCGCGGCAGCACAGCCGUAUACCUACUCUAUGCUCUUACGCGCAUAUGCUAAAUUUCUCGCACCUAGCUAAAGUGCUUGACAAAGCAAGAAGGCAUAUCUUCAACAUUAUAACUUAAAGUAAAAAAGUUUAAGGCAUGCAAUAAAAGAAUCAACCCAACCAACCUCAAUGUCCUCAAAACUAUUAAACAUAAAAAAUUGCACGAAUAAAAUUCAUAAUUUAAAAUAAAA